rnacentral:misc_RNA from 1 species
GGUGAUCGGUUUGUAUCGGCACGUCGGAUCCCUGCCCGGGCAGCGACGACGUCUCGAGCAAGCCUCUUCAGUUGUUGGCCCAAGCGCGCCACGCCUUGGCCGAUGUCGGUUUCCUGUGCGGAAUUCCUAACGGAUGGCAAUCUCUCGGCUACCAACGUCCCGCACUCCUCCCUUCGUCGCGGCUCCGCAAGGAGAUGCGGCGCGGGGRGGACGUCAAAGCCCCCGUCGUGUUUCGCUACCCACGCCCCCGCCCAGGCGGGCGCUCGGGYUGCCGACCCACGACGUCGUGCUCGAUCUCUCGGAUGCGGAAAACCAAGCGGCCACGAGGCYACGGCCUCUACUGUCCCUUAGAAGAGCGUUCUGCGCUCCCUGCGGACGACUGCCGAUCGGGUCUUGUUYCGGAGCCCGCGUGGCUCGGAUCAUGCCCGGCCGGCGUCGACGAGGAAUGCUACCUGGUUGAUCC